rnacentral:rRNA from 1 species
AGCGUAGACGGUGUGGCAAGUCUGAUGUGAAAGGCAUGGGCUCAACCUGUGGACUGCAUUGGAAACUGUCAUACUUGAGUGCCGGAGGGGUAAGCGGAAUUCCUAGUGUAGCGGUGAAAUGCGUAGAUAUUAGGAGGAACAUCAGUGGCGAAGGCGGCUUACUGGACUGAAACUGACACUGAGGCGCGAAGCUGGGAGCAAACA